rnacentral:ncRNA from 1 species
CAAAGGUUUGGUCCUGACUUUUCUGCCAGCUCUAGCUAGACUUACACAUGCAAGUAUCCGCGUCCCCGUGAGAAUGCCCUAUAGUUUCCUGCCCGGAAACAAGGAGCUGGUAUCAGGCACAUUCAAUUUCAGCCCACGACGCCUUGCUCAGCCACACCCCUAAGGGUACUCAGCAGUGAUAAACAUUGACAUAUAAGUGAAAACUUGACUCAGUUAAAGCUAAGAGGGCCGGUAAAACUCGUGCCAGCCACCGCGGUUAUACGGGAGGCCCAAGUUGUCAGAAGUCGGCGUAAAGGGUGGUUAAGAAAUAAGCCUAAAAUUAAAGCCGAACAUCUUCCGGGCUGUUAUACGCAUCCGAAGAUAAGAAGCCCAACUACGAAAGUAGCUUUAUGUCUUCUGAACCCACGAAAGCUAGGAUACAAACUGGGAUUAGAUACCCCACUAUGCCUAGCCAUAAACAUUGACAGUUUAUUACAUUUUCUGUCCGCCUGGGAACUACGAGCACUAGCUUAAAACCCAAAGGACUUGGCGGUGCUUUAGACCCACCUAGAGGAGCCUGUUCUAGAACCGAUAAUCCCCGUUCAACCUCACCCUUCCUUGCCCAUCCCGCCUAUAUACCACCGUCGUCAGCUUACCCUGUGAAGGGUAAAAAGUAAGCAAAACUGGCAUCGCCCAGAACGUCAGGUCGAGGUGUAGCGAAUGGAGGGGGAAGAAAUGGGCUACAUUCCCUUUACUCACAGGGAACUACGAAUAGUGCACUGAAAACGUAUACUUAAAGGAGGAUUUAGCAGUAAGAGGAAACUAGAGCGUUCCACUGAAGUCGGCUCUUAAGCGCGCACACACCGCCCGUCACUCUCCCCGAGACUUCAAAUUUACAUUAACUAAAAUGCCAAGAUCACAGAGGGGAGGCAAGUCGUAACAUGGUAAGUGUACCGGAAGGUGCACUUGGAAAAC